rnacentral:lncRNA from 1 species
UUUGAUUACUGAUUUGUUCACCAUACUAGUUAUAGAUCUGUUUAAGACUUUUUUCUAUUCAUUCAUGAUUUAGUAUUUGUAGGUUGUACAUUUCUAUUAAUUUAUCCAAUUUGUUGGUACAUAUUAUGAUUCUUUUGUGGUAUCAGUUGUAAUGUAUCUUCUUUCAUUUCUGAUAUUAUUUGAGUCUUCUCUAUUUUUUUCUUGGCUCAACUAAGGGUUUGUCUCGUUUAUUUUAUCUUUUCAAAAAACUGGCUCCUAAUUUCAUUGAUUUUUUUCCUGUUAUUUUUCUUUAUUAUUAAUUAUUAUUUUUAUUUGUUAUUAUUAUUAUUAUUUAUUUAUUUAUUAUAGUUCUGGGCACUGAAAAAGGGCCUCACUGAUGCUAGGAAAGUGCCCUGCCACUAGAAAUACAGUGUUUUUACCAACAGAUUUUUAUUUUCUUUGGCUAUCAUGUUGCUGUUUAGCAUCCUUUAUUUCAGCUUAAAGAAGUCUAUAUAACAGACUAACCCACAAAAAUACAGCUAUCUCAUACAAGACAAAGGUACAAUAAACAUACAUUGGAGAAAGAUAGCCUCUUCAACAAAUGGUGCUGGGAAAACUGGAAAUUCAUAUGUAGCAAAAUGGAAUUAAACCCCUAUCUCUCACCCUGCACAAAACUCAACUCAAAAUAGAUCAAGGACCUAGAAAUUUGACUAGAGACUCUGCACUUACUGGAAGAAAAUGUAGGCCCAAUUCUCCAUCAUGUCAACUUAGGUACCAACUUCCUCAUCAAGACUCCUAAAUCACAAGAAGCAAAAUCAAGAAUUAAUAAAUCAAACAGUAUCAAAAAAAAAAAGCUUCUUUAUAGCAAAGGAAACAAUCCAGAACAUGAAGAGAGAGCCUACAGAAUGGAAGAAAAUUUUGCCAUCUGCACUUCAAAGCAUUAAUCUCCAGAAUAUACAUGAACUCAAAAAACUUAACACCAAAAACAGACAAAUAAUUCAAUCAAUAAAUGGGCAAAGGAACUAAACAGAAGAAAAAAUACGAAUGGUCAACAAGUGUUAUAUUUCCUCGACGUCUAUGUGAUUCAAU